UGGGGAAUAUUGGACAAUGGGGGGAACCCUGAUCCAGCCAUGCCGCGUGUGUGAAGAAGGCCUUAUGGUUGUAAAGCACUUUAAGCGAGGAGGAGGGUACUGGUAUUAAUACUACCAGCUACUGGACGUUACUCGCAGAAUAAGCACCGGCUAACUCUGUGCCAGCAGCCGCGGUAAUACAGAGGGUGCGAGCGUUAAUCGGAUUUACUGGGCGUAAAGCGUGCGUAGGCGGCUAAUUGAGUCGGAUGUGAAAUCCCCGAGCUUAACUUAGGAAUUGCAUUCGAUACUGGUUAGCUAGAGUGUGGGAGAGGAGGGGAGAGUUCCAUGUGUAGCGGUGAGAUGCGUAGAGAUGUGGAGGAAUACCGAUGGCGAAGGCAGGCAUCUGGCCUGACACUGACGCUGAGGUACGAAAGCAUGGGGAGCAAACAGG
rnacentral:rRNA from 1 species